UACGUAGGGUGCGAGCGUUAAUCGGAAUUACUGGGCGUAAAGCGUGCGCAGGCGGUUUUGUAAGCCAGAUGUGAAAUCCCCGGGCUUAACCUGGGAAUGGCAUUUGGGACUGCAAGGCUUGAGUGCGGCAGAGGAGACUGGAAUUCCUGGUGUAGCAGUGAAAUGCGUAGAUAUCAGGAGGAACACCGAUGGCGAAGGCGGUUAGCUGGGCAGUUGCUGACACUGAGGCGCGACAGCGUGGGGAGCAAACAGGG
rnacentral:rRNA from 1 species